rnacentral:rRNA from 1 species
AUUGAACGCUGGCGGAAUGCUUUACACAUGCAAGUCGAGCGGCAGCACGGGGGCAACCCUGGUGGCGAGCGGCGAACGGGUGAGUAACACAUCGGAACGUACCCUGUCGUGGGGGAUAACGAGUCGAAAGAUUCGCUAAUACCGCAUACGACCCGGGGGUGAAAGCGGGGGAUCGCAAGACCUCGCGCGACUGGAGCGGCCGAUGGCGGAUUAGCUAGUUGGUGGGGUAAAGGCCCACCAAGGCGACGAUCCGUAGCGGGUCUGAGAGGACGGCCCGCCACACUGGGACUGAGACACGGCCCAGACUCCUACGGGAGGGCAGCAGUGGGGGAAGUUUUAGGUACGAAAUGGGGGGCGAACCCUCGAUCCAGCCA